GCACCCGUAGCUCAAUUGGAUAGAGCGCCUGACUACGGAUCAGGAGGUUAGGGGUUCGACUCCUCUCGGGUGUGCCA
rnacentral:tRNA from 2 species